UACGUAGGGGUGCAAGCGUUUGUCCGGAAUUAUUGGGCGUAAAGGGCUCGUAGGCGGUCCAUCGCGUCGGGAGUGAAAAGCUGGGGCUCAACCCCAGUCCUGCUUCCGAUACGGGUGGACUAGAGGUAUGCAGGGGAGAACGGAAUUCCUGGAUGUAGCGGUGAAAUGACGCAGAUAUCAGGAGGAACACCGGUGGCGAAGGCGGAUCUCUGGGCCUUACCUGACGCUGAGGCGCGAAAGCUAGGGGAGCGAACGGG
rnacentral:rRNA from 1 species